AUACGAAAGGUGCAAGCGUUGUUCGGAUUUACUGGGCGUAAAGAGAUCGUAGGUGGUUUGUUAAGUCGGAUGUGAAAUCCCGGGGCUCAACCCCGGAACUGCAUCCGAUACUGGCAGGCUAGAGUUUGGGAGGGGUAAGCGGAAUUCCGUGUGUAGCAGUGAAAUGCGUGGAUAUACGGAGGAACACCUGAGGCGAAGGCGGCUUACUGGACCAAUACUGACACUGAGGAUCGAAAGCGUGGGUAGCAAACAGGAUUAGAAACCCCUGUAGUCC
rnacentral:rRNA from 1 species